rnacentral:rRNA from 1 species
GACAGAGGGGGCAAGCGUUGCUCGGAAUCACUGGGCGUAAAGGGCGCGUAGGCGGGAUGGCAAGUCGGUCGUGAAAUCCUUCGGCUCAACCGAAGAACGUCGGCCGAUACUGCCGUUCUUGAGGGAUGCAGAGGAGAUUGGAAUUCCCGGUGUAGCGGUGAAAUGUGUAGAGAUCGGGAGGAACACCGGUGCGAAGGCGGGUCUCUGGGCAUCUCCUGACGCUGAGGCGCGAAAGCGUGGGGAGCAAACGGGG